rnacentral:lncRNA from 1 species
UUACCCAGGGUCAGUGCUUGGUUUCCAGACAGGUCCUCUCCAGGCAGUCUUGGCCCAUGCUGAGGAGCUUGCAAGUCUGCGGCAAGGAUGUGGUUGCUAGACCUUGUGGUACUCCUAAAUAACCAGCUGCCAGACUCAGGAGACUGGGAGAUAACCUGAACUCACGCAUCACUGAAGGGCUGGAAGCUGUGGACCUCAGUCUGCAUAUGUGCAUUUCUUUCAGUGCCCGAGGUCAGCUGAUCGGAGCCGUUUCAGUGGAUCCCGAGGUACCGGGUGGUUCUGCGGUUCCUCGAGUUUGAAUUUCGCGUCCCGGAAGCCCCCGGCAGCCCUUGCGAGAGCGGCUGACGGGACGUGGGCGUUACCGCGGUGACGGUUAUCACAGCCCCGCCCCUCUCCUUGAAAAAGCCUCCUAGAGGGCAACGACGCGUCACCGGCGACACCAGGCGCUGGGAGGAACAACCAGCUUGUGAUGCGGGCAGAACCAGAGGCUCUGAAAGGAAACAGAAGAUGGAGGAGAGGUAUAAAUCUGCUGUGAAAGGUCUGUGGAGAAAGUAGCUGAAAAAUGCCUUUGCAGCAAUAGCUGCCCUAUCUUUCACCGUCCUCACCUCCUCCCUCUCACCAGAUUCCUGGCAGAAACUAGUAUCUCCUGGCCCUGUGUAGCCCAGCAGGUUGCUCAAGCAGCUUGGACUCUACACAAUGCAACAACCAGCCCAGUGACAUUCCCCUGCCAAGUGCAGACCAGUAAGGACCAGUGCAGGCAUGCUGGCUGUGCCCAUGAGGACCAGGGCAAUCCACAAGGUCAAGCAAGCUGCAUGGGCACACUGCUCCGUGUCACCAUGUCACUAGUAAACCAGGAAAAACUGGCAAGAAAAAAUAACAGGGAAGUCAAAGGUCUUGCGCUUGAUGCAUUUGUGUGUGAGCCAGGUGUACAGAGCUACCUUGUACCAAGAUGAAAGCUACCUAAAUAGCAUAAAAAAAAAAAAAUCCAUUUUACAGCAAUCAAUCUACCAGACACCCACCUAAAAA